rnacentral:rRNA from 1 species
UACGUAGGGGGCUAGCGUUGUCCGGAUUUAUUGGGCGUACAGCGCGUGUAGGCGGCCAGGUAGGUCUGCUGUGAAAACUCGAGGCUCAACCUCGAGACGUCGGCGGAAACCAUCUGGCUAGAGUCCGGAAGAGGAGAGUGGAAUUCCUGGUGUAGCGGUGAAAUGCGCAGAUAUCAGGAAGAACACCCGUGGCGAAGGCGGCUCUCUGGGACGGUACUGACGCUGAGACGCGAAAGCGUGGGGAGCGAACAGG